rnacentral:lncRNA from 1 species
AUGAGGACCCACAUUUUGGGGUUUUUCCCCUCCAAAAUCGACCCCAAUAUUGGGGUUUUCACCCCAAAAAUGAGGACCCACAUUUUGGGGUUUUUCCCUUCCAAUAUGGACCCAAUAUUGGGGUUUUUCUGUCCAGAAGGGACCCAAUAUUGGAGCUUUUCACCCCAAAAUGAGGACCCACAUUUUGGGGUUUUCCCUCCAGAAGGGACCCCAAUAUUGGAGCUUUUCACCCCAAAAAGGAGGACCCACAUUUUGGGGUUUUUCCCCUCCAGAAGGGACCCCAAUAUUGGAGCUUUUCACCCCAAAAUGAGGACCCACAUUUUGGGGUUUUUCCCCUCCAGAAGGGACCCCAAUAUUGGAGCUUUUCACCCCAAAAAUGAGGACCCACAUUUUGGGGUUUUUCCCCCCAAAAAUGAGGACCCAGAUUUUGGGGCUUUUCCCUCCAGAAGGGACCCCAAUAUUGCAGCUUUUCACCCCAAAAAUGAGGACCCACAUAUUGGGGUUUUUCCCCUCCAAUAUGGACCCAAUAUUGGGGUUUUUCUGUCCAGAAGGGACCCAAUAUUGGAGCUUUUCACCCCAAAAAUGAGGAUCCACAUUUUGGGGUUUUUCUCCUCCAAAAUCGAUCCCUAUAUUGGGUUUUUCCUUCCAGAAGGGACCCCAAUAUUGGAGUUUUUCACCCCAAAAAUGAGGACCCACAUUUUGGGGUUUUCCCCUCCAGAAGGACCCAAUAUUGGAGCUUUUCACCCCAAAAAUGAGGACCCACAUUUUGGGGUUUUUCCCCUAAAAUAUGGACCCAAUAUUGGGGUUUUUCUGUCCAGAAGGGACCCAAUAUUGCAGCUUUUCACCCCAAAAAUGAGGACCCAGCUUUUGGGGUUUUUCCCCUCCAAAAUGGACCCAAUAUUUGGGUUUUCCCUCCAGAAGGGACCCCAACAUUGGGGUUUUUCUGUCCAGAAGGACCCAAUAUUGGAGUUUUUCACCCCAAAAAUGAGGACCCACAUUUUGGGGUUUUUCUCCCCAAAAACGAGGUCCCAGAUUUGGGGUUUUUCCUCCCCCCUUACCUGCUCCGGAGGGAUCACCCCAAACGUGUGCACCUGUAGGGGGGGACGG